UCAUUACACAAAUAUGAAGGCGGGCUGGAACCUCUCGGGGUUACAGCCUUGCUGAAUUAUUCACCCUUGUCUUUUGCGUACUUCUUGUUUCCUUGGUGGGUUCGCCCACCACUAGGACAAACAUAAACCUUUUGUAAUUGCAAUCAGCGUCAGUAACAAAUUAAUAAUUACAACUUUCAACAACGGAUCUCUUGGUUCUGGCAUCGAUGAAGAACGCAGCGAAAUGCGAUAAGUAGUGUGAAUUGCAGAAUUCAGUGAAUCAUCGAAUCUUUGAACGCACAUUGCGCCCUUUGGUAUUCCAAAGGGCAUGCCUGUUCGAGCGUCAUUUGUACCCUCAAGCUUUGCUUGGUGUUGGGCGUCUUGUCUCUAGCUUUGCUGGAGACUCGCCUUAAAGUAAUUGGCAGCCGGCCUACUGGUUUCGGAGCGCAGCACAAGUCGCACUCUCUAUCAGCAAAGGUCUAGCAUCCAUUAAGCCUUUUUUUCAACUUUUGACCUCGGAUCAGGUAGGGAUACCCGCUGAACUUAAGCAUAUCAAUAAGCGGAGGAAAAGAAACCAACAGGGAUUGCCCUAGUAACGGCGAGUGAAGCGGCAACAGCUCAAUUUGAAAUCUGGCUCUUUUAGAGUCCGAGUUGUAAUUUGCAGAGGGCGCUUGGCUUUGGCAGCGGUCCAAGUUCCUUGGAACAGGA
rnacentral:rRNA from 1 species